rnacentral:rRNA from 1 species
AGAGUUUGAUCCUGGCUCAGCCUGAACGCUGGCGGCAUGGUUAAGACAUGCAAGUCGAACGACACAGUGGCGAACGGGUGAGUAAUGCGUCGCUAACCUGCCCCGGGCUCGAGGAUAGCAGGAAGAAAUUCUUGGUAAUACUCGAUGACCUGCCGGCCCCGCAUGGGGUUGACCGCAAAGCUUUUGCGGCCCGGGAUGGGGCGACGUGGUAUCAGCUAGUUGGUGAGGUAAUGGCUCACCAAGGCUUCGACGCCUAGCCGGACUGAGAGGUUGGCCGGCCACAUCGGGACUGAGACACUGCCCGGACUCCUACGGGAGGCUGCAGUAACGAAUCUUCCGCAAUGCACGAAAGUGUGACGGAGCGAUGCCGCGUGCGGGACGAAGCCCUUCGGGGUGUAAACCGCUAAAACCAUCAGGAAAGUUCUGAUCCGGUGGUGAUAAGGAGCGACUAACUCUGUGCCAGCAGUCGCGGUAACACAGAGGCUCCAAGCGUUAGGCGGAAUCACUGGGCUUAAAGCGUGCGUAGGCGGCGCAUCAAGUGUCUUGUGAAAGCCCAUGGCUCAACCAUGGAACUGCUUGGCAUACUGGUGUGCUUGAAUCAUCUAGGGGCGAGCGGAACUGACGGUGGAGCGGUGAAAUGCGUAGAUAUCGUCAGGAACGCCAAAGGCGA